UCAACUUGAUGAGCAAAAUUCACCUAGACAGACAGUACCAUCUGGACAAGGCACCUAAGCUUCUAGGACCUCUCUGAAUCCUAACCUCCUCUUUGCCCUUCUCAGGUCUCACUGUUGAAUAGGUAUUGUUGACCAAAUACUUAGCAAUUCUGUGACUAACACUACAGGGUCUAUAGGGUAGAAUCCCAAUUCUGGGAGGAUAAUCAGAUCACUUCUGCAGAGAAUAAUGCAUUUCUUUCUUGGAAUUACAUGAUAUUGGAAGUCCAGAAUGGGAUUGACAAGCCAAUUUGGGGGAUCUUCAUUAAUAACAAGGAAUUUUCAUGUGCACUCAAAGAUAGCAAGUAACUAUAUAAGUAACUCUUCCCUUCCCAUUUAAAACAUUACUGGAAUGAUCACUAUAUUUCAUAUGUUCCCAUGAGUUUUAUAAAACAUUUUAACCAUCUUUUUUCUCAUAAAAGAUAGGGUCUGGCAAAUAGUAUUUUUCCAGGGCCUCACACACCCUGGGUGUGACCCCUGUGUUGAGAUAAUAUAGGGAGACAUAGGGCAUUUGUCUGAUCUGAUUUGCAAAGCAAGCAGGCCAUGCUUUGUUCUGCUAAAAUCAUGUCAUCUUUGAUCCAUGUGGUAUAGACAGACACUGUGUUUACUGAAGAGCAGUGAAUGUUGUAGACAAGCUCUAGAGUAGUUCCAAGAGGUGAGGCAAUGCAGGAAGCAGAGAUUUAGAUAAGUCAUUCUUAUGGGACAAGUCAAAUAGAAAGGAGCUGUGGAAGUGUAUCAACACACCUUGUAAGGCAUGUUCUCAUAAGGUAUGCUAGAGAAAGGGUGGAUGCUCUUCAACAAUGCCUGACAGGAGGACGUAGAACUGCAGGUCAGCAUCUGUCACUGCAGCUGGAAAUCCUUGCUGUUUGCAGGCUGCACUUUGAAAAUAUGGAAAAGCAACCACAGAAAUGGUCACAGUCAUGCAGGAGUAUCAGGGACUCUGUGAUAAUGGAGGGACUUAAUUUAAAAAUUGGACUUUAUAGGAAAGCAUCUGCUUAGCUAAGGCAGAUAGUGGGAGGGUGAACACUUAAAUUGGAUUACUUACUGCAAUGUGGCAGGAAGGAAUAGAACUGGUGGCUUUGAAGUAACAAAAGGCAAACAGAAAAUGGGAAACUGAGUGAAGCUAUGCUGGGUGUGAUGUAUAGGCUAGGAUGUUUGCUCAAAGAUGAAGAGCACAGAGACCAUUUUGAUGAAAUUCAGGACAAAUAAUUGAUGUUAUUUAUAUGGAAAACACUUAAGAUCAAUGAGAAAAAUCAUUACAAGGGAGAAGCUAGAAAAUAAUCAGUGAAGAUGAGCAUAAAGAAACUUAAAUAGAAAAAAAAAGACCCUGAAAGUAAGGAAAAAUAAUAGCUUUGUAAAAACUCACAAAGAAUAAUAACAAGAUGCAGUAGAAUUCUGAUGACUGAUCAGGGACAUCAAGAUUAACAUGCACUUUCCAGCUCAGGGACAAAGUAUAAUAGUUUGGAGAAAACUCUCACAUUAUCUGAACAUUCAGUUUGAAGAGAUGUUCAUGUUUUAAAGCAAUCCAGAAUAGAAUUUCUCAAAUUAAGAAAAGGGACUCGAGCAACAUAUGAAACACACACACACACACACACACACACACACAAACACACACACACUCACUGUGUGAAAUUAUAAAAAUUGAUUCACUUUAUUACUUCACUGCAUUACUAAGUGAAGAUGUUCUUUAGAAAUUAAACUUCACUAAUAUUGUUAUCAGAACCUUCAGUCAUGGAUUCCAAUGCCAAGUCUCUCCUCUGUCUUUCUCUUCUCUAUAUUCACUUCUCUGAACCUGUUAUUUCUUCUUUCUUUCUUUCUUUCUCUCUUUUUCUUUUUUCUUUGUAGUAGUAGUAUAAGAAAGCAUUAUGACCACAUACUACAGAACACAGUUGAGUUAGACAUUUCUCAAGUUAAUUAUUGGAUGAUGAAGGAGAAAGCGUAUGCCAAGAGCACAGGAUACAUGGUUUUGUCUGUCAAAACUUCUGUGAUUCUCAAAACCACAAUCCUACUCGUGUCUCUCCUUACUUCUGUCUAUGGCAGAAUUACCAAAUGCAAUCUCAUUACAUAGUCGAGAGCAGGCACCUGACCAAGCAGAUGCAAUGGCUUCUGUGAAGUGUGUCAGCAGAGGGGUCUGGAGAGAGUUAGGCCAAUAUUUUCUAAAAGAAUAAAACUGAAAAAAGUAAAAUUUAAAACCUCUUUCAUAUAUAAUAUGGGGAAAAGAAAAUUAGGCUAACUUGUGAGAGAAGAAGGAAAAACCAAGUGUCAAUCAACUUGAAAUUCUAAGUCCUUGUAAUUCCUAAAGCUUUGUUAUUUAUGUCUCCUUCCUAUGACAUGAGCAAUAAAAUCUUCCUGGAAUCCACUAGAUUUCUAUUAGCUAUUGGAAUCCAAUGGCUUUCAAUCAAUUACAACUUUAAUAUAAAGAAUACUAGGUUGGAUUAUAAUAAUUUGCCCAAAUGGUUUCUGACUAAUACAGGAAUUUACUAUAUACCACUUCAUUUCUAAAGAGGAUAAACUGAGAAACACAUAUAUAAGCAAAUUAUGAGAAAUUAUAUUAGGAAAUACCUAUGAAAUAAACUGUUUUUGGAGAACGGGCAUGUGGACAAAUCACAGAUCAUAUAGUAAGUGGUAGAAAAUAAAAGUAGAAGUAUAGUAAAAAGUAAAA
rnacentral:lncRNA from 1 species